CGCAAUCUCGAUUGUUGUACUGUGAUGCUGGAUCAAUGGGAUCCUAAUUAUAGCCUUUAUGAACCAGUUAUUAUCAGUUUCUGUACGUUUUGGAAAGGUCUUGGUGAGCCUGUAUGUCAAAGUUUAUCGAGCUUGGAAGUGGUCUUGACGUCAGAUAGUCUCGAAGUCUGAAGAAGAAAUUUGAUUCUUCAAGUGAAUAUUCUAUUGAAAAUGUAUGGAUAAACAACCUAUGACGUCAUCGUCUCUGACAUUAUGUUGUCAUGUCUGCCUAUUACAAUGGCCUAACAACAUGCCCCAAGAAAAAUUGUAAAACGUGGACUUAUUUGUCUGUGGGUGGACAAUAUUGUAUAUAUUAUGCUUGUUAUCAUGGUCGACAUGUGUCGAAACGAAUACUGUUAUCUAUAUUUGGAGCCCACAAAUAUGUUAACCAUAUGUUUGUUCAUGAUUUUGUUGCAAAAUGUUUUCAUGUAAGUACAUCUUUAAUAGAUAUGUUAUUUUGUGUAGAUCACAU